CACGUAGUUAGCCGGUGCUUCUUCUACACCUACAGUCACCACCCGAAGAUGGCUUCGUCGGUGUCGAAAGAGGUUUACAACCCGAAGGCCGUCAUCCCCCACGCGGCGUUGCUGCGUCAGGCUUUCGCCCAUUGCGCAAGAUUCCCCACUGCUGCCUCCCGUAGGAGUCUGGGCCGUGUCUCAGUCCCAGUGUGGCCGGUCACCCUCUCAGGCCGGCUACCCGUCGUCGCCUUGGUAGGCCAUCACCCCACCAACAAGCUGAUAGGCCGCGGGCUCAUCCUGCACCGCCGGAGCUUUCCACACCACACCAUGCGGCACGAUGUCAUAUCCGGUAUUAGACCCCGUUUCCAGGGCUUAUCCCAGAGUGCAGGGCAGAUUACCCACGUGUUACCCACCCGUUCGCCACUCAUCCACGGUGCAAGCACCGCUUCAGCGUUCGACUUGCAUGUGUUAAGCACGCCGCCAGCGUUCGUCCUGAGCCAGGAUCAACUCU
rnacentral:rRNA from 1 species